AUUCAGUGCGACUCUCCAACUCACUCUCUCUCUUUCUUUGCUCGGUAAGAGAUUUCUCUCACUUUUCCAUUUGUUGAUGCAAUAGAUUUUCAACUUUUGAGGAUAUUUUAUUUUCGGAAAGAAAAAAAAAAAAGACUCUCCGUUGUUCCGGCGGCAUCCCUUCUCCUAUCGUCUCUGGUCUCUGUUCUCUGGCGAUCGCCAUCUACCUGGUUUCAUUCGGCUUAAUCAUCUCUCAAAUUUCGAUUGUGCUGGAACGGUAGCUGCUUUAACAAAUGAAAGUGCCCCAGCAAAUCAGAAAUGAUAUUUUGAGCCUUGAAAUGGGUGAUAGCAUUAGCAUCAAGGGCAAGGGUACUAUGAUUCAAGUAAAGGAUCUCUUCGUCCAAUUCUCUCUCUGUCUCUCACUCUCAGAUUUCGUCGACUCUCUCUAGCCUCCAUGCUAUGGUGUUUCUCCUCCACCCACGGUCAGGCAAUCACCUCCAUGUUUCUCUCCAACCCAUCUGCCACACCACCAUAUCUCAGCAAUUUUGUGGAGGACUAGCUACAAGGUAAAUUUUGAUAGCAUAGAUGUAUUAAAGAGAAGGCUACAAAGUGUUCUCAAUAACACAGAAUAAAUGUGAGAUGGAUACAAGAGCCAAUAAGAUGAUGCUUACUUGGAGUGAAUCAUCAAGGCCCUUAUUGACACGACUGAUCAUGAAAUUUAUGCAAGCUUGACCUGCUGCUAUGAGAAGUAUGAUAAGGGAAAAGGUGUUGUUGGCUCCCAGCUUCUGGGAGAAAGAGCACAAAUUAUUCUAAAUGAAGUUCGAGAUUUGUCCCAUUUUAAUCGUAUCCAAUGUCUAGAGCAUGAGAGCAUUUCCAACCUAUUAUGCAGGGACUGGAAAAUGCAAGUCACUCUGCUGCAAGUGUCUGUAGCCUGCUAAUGUUGUUUUGGUAUGAGGCUUAUUAUAAUUAUUUGGUUAUGUGGUGGAACAAGACUUCUAGUUCCAGUUUCCAGUUUUAUUCUUUUAACGAUCAUGUUUUUAUAGUCUUCUUCUAAUCAUGACAAGUUCAAUUUGCUCAUGUUAGCUACAAUUCCUCAUUUAUUUUUUGUGUUUGCAUCUUGUUCCUAAAUAGUGAUUUUCACUAUAACUGUUAUGAUGCCUUUAAUCUUUUCUUUUCUGGAAUUACCGAGCUUUUUAUUUUUCUUGUUGU